rnacentral:tRNA from 1 species
AGCGGCUGUAGGAAACCGGCAUUCCGCGUGGCUCAUAACCACGAGACAGGUCGUUCGACUCGACCCGCCGCUACCA